GCAGGUGUAGUCUCAGCUACUCUGGAGGCUGAGGCAGGAGAAUCACUUGAGCCUGCUAGUCCUGGGCUGUAGCAUGCUAUGCUGAUAGGGCAUCUGCACUAAGUUCUUCAUCAAUCUGAUGACCUCCUGGGAGUGAGGGACCAUUCGAUUGCCUAAGGAGAAGUGAACCAGCGCGGGUGGGAAAUGGAGCCAGUCACAACUCCUGUGCUGAUCAGUAGUGGGAUUGUGACUGUCAAUAGCCAUAGCACUCCAGCCUGGAAAACAUAGUGAGACCUCAUUUCU
rnacentral:SRP_RNA from 1 species